CACGGGGGGAGCAAGCGUUGUUCGGAAUCACUGGGCGUAAAGGGUGUCUAGGCGGUCAGGUAAGUGAGAUGUGAAAUGCCCCGGCUUACCCGGGGACCUGCAUCUCAUACUGCCUGGCUUGAGUAUGGGAGAGGAUGAGGGAAUUCCUGGUGUAGCGGUGAAAUGCGUAGAUAUCAGGAGGAACACCGAUGGCGAAGGCAGGUCUCUGGGCUGACACUGACGCUCAUGCACGAAAGCGUGGGGAGCAAACAGG
rnacentral:rRNA from 1 species